GAUGAACGCUGGCGGCGUGCCUAAUACAUGCAAGUCGAGCGAACAGACGAGGAGCUUGCUCCUCUGACGUUAGCGGCGGACGGGUGAGUAACACGUGGAUAAUCUACCUAUAAGACUGGGAUAACUUCGGGAAACCGGAGCUAAUACCGGAUAAUAUAUUGAACCGCAUGGUUCAAUAGUGAAAGACGGUUUUGCUGUCUCUUAUAGAUGGAUCCGCGCCGCAUUAGCUAGUUGGUAAGGUAACGGCUUACCAAGGCAACGAUGCGUAGCCGACCUGAGAGGGUGAUCGGCCACACUGGAACUGAGACACGGUCCAGACUCCUACGGGAGGCAGCAGUAGGGAAUCUUCCGCAAUGGGCGAAAGCCUGACGGAGCAACGCCGCGUGAGUGAUGAAGGUCUUCGGAUCGUAAAACUCUGUUAUUAGGGAAGAACAAAUGUGUAAGUAACUAUGCACGUCUUGACGGUACCUAAUCAGAAAGCCACGGCUAACUACGUG
rnacentral:rRNA from 1 species